CUUGGAAAGAUUUAGGAGUAAGCAAAGAAUUUACGUAUGAACAAUUUGUGAGGGUGAUCAUCUGGAGAUGUGUGAGGGCUUUUUUUUUUUUUCUUUUUGUAGGCAUCUGGGUAAGCUACAAUGCUUAACCACUUAACACAAUCAGGAAGCAACAGCCAUGCAUUCGGGAAAGGAACUUCAGUGUUGUGUGGCUCAGUCUCCAGACCUAACUUUCCCUUUGGUACAGACGCGGUGGUACAUGCCUGUAAUCCCAACACUUAGGCAGGAGGAUCACUCGAGCCCAGAAGAUCAAGACUAGUGUGAGCAACAAAAUCCUUCCCUGGCACCGGUUCCAGGAGGACCUCGUUCUUAGGCAGCAUCUGUGUCUCUGUUUUGUAAGACACACAGAGUAUCCUUAACCCACUGCAGAUAUUUCCCUGGGUCCAUGGUCAAUCAACACCACCUUUCAGUCUCCAGCCUCUUAACCAGCCCAGGGCUGAGUGUUGUUUAUAGUAUUAAUAUGUUUCUGGCUGGGCUCAGUGGCUCAUGCCUGUAAUCCCGGCACUAUGGGAGGCUGAGGCAGGCGGAUCACUUGAGGUCAGGAGUUCAAGACCAGCCUGGCCAACAUAGUAAAACCCCGUCUCUACUAAAAAUACAAAAAUGAGCCGGGUGUGGUGGCGUGUGUCUAUAAUCCCAGCUACUCGGGAGGCUGAGGCAGGAGAAUUGCUUGAACCUGGGAGGUGGAGGCUACAGUGAGCUGAGAUCAUGCCACUGCACUCCAGCCUGGGCAAGAAAGUGAGACUCCAUCUCAAAACAAAGAAACAAACAAAGUAUUAAUAUGUUCCCCUUGAUCAGUGGGGUGGUUCACCCUUGUAAUCCCAGCACUUUGGGAGGCAGAGGCUGGCGGAUCGCUUGAGUCCAGGAGUUCGAGACCAGCCUGGGUGAACUAGCAAAACCCUGCCUGUACUAAAAAUACAAAAAUUAACUGGGCUUGGUGGUGCGAGCCUGUAAUCCCAGUGGAGGCUGAGACAGGAGAAUCCUUUUGUAAUGCCUGACCUUGUUUUUUUACUAACCCUAUUUUAACCUUGUUUUUACUAACCCUAUUUUUAAAUUUUCCCUUUUUGUCUCCUUAAUUACCUAGCCUUGUUUCCCAUAUGAGUAGACUCUCCCUUAGCUGGGAAAGCCUGACGAACGCCAUCUGGCCCCUUGAUUUACAAGACAUUAAGGGCUACUUACCCAACCCCCUUCCUCAAAGAGUUAACCUGCGUAAGCAGAUCCUCAGCAUUUCAAAGGAGCCCAAUUAGCUGAUAAGGUACUGGAACAAACAAUGUACGAAGUUCCCAGGAUUUUGCUCAAAAGCAUAACAACAUAAAGCCUUGAGUCUGUGUCUGGCAUAGCAUCCAUAUCUAACUCUUAUGAAGGAUUUAGAGCCCGGCACCUGGUUCCGUUGCUUUUUUUGUAACCAUUUGUCUUUUAAAUUGUUUAUUUCUCUGUAACCAUUUGUUUUUUGAUUCUUGCAUGUUUUUACUUCUGUAGAAUUAUUGCAUUUGAGCUCCGCUCCCCUUCCGAACCAAGGUAUAAAAGUAAAUCAAGCCCCUUCCUCGGGGCCGAGAGAAUUUUGGAAAGUCAAGCCUUCUCUUGGCUGCCGGCUUAAAUAAAGG
rnacentral:lncRNA from 1 species